CGCAACCUCUUCUUCUUCCCCAAGAUAUUCUCGUCGGAAUCCUCUCCAAGCUCCCCGCUAAAUCGCUAGUACGAUUCAGGUGCGUUUCUAAAUUCUUUUGCGCUCUCAUAGCCGACCAUGGCUUUGGCGUUCUGCAUCGCAGCUUGUCCUUGACACUUCCCACUAGGGCGGGCAUCCUCAUCGCUAUCAUACAGCCAAAGCGGCUCUCCUCCCGUUCCUCCCAUGUGUAUUACACCAUAAAUUUCAGCCAAGGGCAGCCGGGAAUGCUCCAAGCCAACCGUCUCGGCUACUUGGACGCUGAACCAUUUCUGGAAGGCUGUCUACACUCCUCCUCGGAUGGCCUGAUUUGUAUGUCCAGACCCAAUGGAGACGUCGUUGUUUGCAACGUUUGCACGGGACAACGUAUUUCCCUUCCGACAAUCCAAUUCCACUUCCCCCAUCCAUCUUUAUCCUGUGCACAGUUGGGGUUUGAUUCACAAUCUAAAAGAUACAAGGUUUUGAUGUCAGCCUGGUUAUUUUUUAAAGUC